UCUGUCUCUACUGGUUUGGUUAUUGUGGACGUUUCACGUAAAUGGAAUCAGAUGGUGCAGUAGUCCUCCUCCGUGGCUUCAGUUACCUAGGGUCCGCUGAGGUCUGGAAGCAGAACUUUCUCCUUCUGACAUAGGUCCAGUCGCCUAGUGCUGUUGCCUAGAGCAGUCAGUGGUCACCUGGAGCUCUCACGAAGCCAACAUCAUUCACCUCACUUUAUCUCCUCACGUAGGCAUCUUAUCAGCUCAGGAAGGGUUUUAUUUAUUUGUCAGAGUGAGAGGGAAGCGAGCGCACAAGCAGGAGGAGCAGCAGCGGGAGCAGCAGGCUCCACACCGAGCAUGGCUCAUCCGGCUCAUCCGGGGCCCCAGGAUCCUGACCUGAGUCAAAGGCAGCUGUUUCCCGCCAAGGCACCCCCACUCAGCCACCCCCCGCCCCCCGCCCCGGCGCCCCAGGUCUGCCUUUCUACUAAGAUCACUAGAGUGGAUUUUGGGUUUCAUCUUUGCGCUCUUAGGAAACCCGCUGCAAAGGCCUUUCCCCGCGGUCCGCCAAGAGAGAACCCGCUGCGCUGCGGGGCCGGCGAGCGCGGGGGCAGCGGCGCGGUGACGACCGCGGGGUCCGUGGGGUCCCGGCGCGGUGACCACCGGGGGAUCCGUGGGGUCCGUGGGGCAGCGGCGCGGUGACCACCGGGGGGUCCGUGGGGUCCGUGGGG